rnacentral:rRNA from 1 species
ACGGGUGAGUAAUACAUCGGAACGUGCCCUGUAGUGGGGGAUAACUAGUCGAAAGAUUAGCUAAUACCGCAUACGACCUGAGGGUGAAAGUGGGGGACCGCAAGGCCUCAUGCUAUAGGAGCGGCCGAUGUCUGAUUAGCUAGUUGGUGGGGUAAAGGCCCACCAAGGCGACGAUCAGUGGCUGGUCUGAGAGGACGAUCAGCCACACUGGGACUGAGACACGGCCCAGACUCCUACGGGAGGCAGCAGUGGGGAAUUUUGGACAAUGGGGGCAACCCUGAUCCAGCAAUGCCGCGUGUGUGAAGAAGGCCUUCGGGUUGUAAAGCACUUUUGUCCGGAAAGAAAUCGCACUUACUAAUAUUAGGUGUGGAUGACGGUACCGGAAGAAUAAGGACCGGCUAACUACGUGCCAGCAGCCGCGGUAAUACGUAGGGUCCAAGCGUUAAUCGGAAUUACUGGGCGUAAAGCGUGCGCAGGCGGUUGUGCAAGACCGAUGUGAAAUCCCCGGGCUUAACCUGGGAAUUGCAUUGGUGACUGCACGGCUAGAGUGUGUCAGAGGGGGGUAGAAUUCCACGU